AGCCUUGAGGUGUUUUACACACUAGAUUGCAAAUCUUGAGUAGUAGGCUAACGUCUACCGGGGCUU
rnacentral:tRNA from 1 species